rnacentral:tRNA from 1 species
GGGGGUGUAACUCAAAGGUAGAGCAUUUGCCUGGCAAAUGUGAAGCCCUGGGUUUCAUUCCCAGCACCACAA